AGCCACGCGAGUCGAACGCUUCCCUGUUGCGGGAGGCGUGGCGUACGGCUCAGUAACACGUAGUCAACCUGCCCUGGAGACAAGUAUAACCCCGGGAAACUGGGAUUAAUCCUUGAUAGGUCAUCUCAUCUGGAAGGAGAGAUGGCUUAAAGGGGUGCGAGAGCUUCUUUCUUGUACCCGCUCCAGGAUGGGACUGCGGCCGAUCAGGCUGUUGGUGGGGUAAUGGCCCACCAAACCUGUAACCGGUACGGGCCUUGAGAGAGGGGGCCCGGAGAUGGACACUGAGAGAAGGGUCCAGGUCCUACGGGGCGCAGCAGGCGCGAAACCUUCACAAUGCGCGAAAGCGUGAUGAGGUGAAUCCCGAUUGGUCCCCGCGUGAGGGGAUCUUUUGUCGGGUGUGAAAAGGCGGGUUGAAUAAGGGGAGGGGAAGUUUGGGUGUUCCCCGGCGGGGGUUA
rnacentral:rRNA from 1 species